UCGAGCGAGGUAGCAAUACCUAGCGGCGGACGGGUGAGUAACGCGUGGGAACGUACCCUUUGCUUCGGAAUAGCCCCUGGAAACGGGGAGUAAUACCGGAUGAGCCCUACGGGGGAAAGAUUUAUCGGCAAAGGAUCGGCCCGCGUUGGAUUAGGUAGUUGGUGGGGUAAUGGCCUACCAAGCCGACGAUCCAUAGCUGGUUUGAGAGGAUGAUCAGCCACACUGGGACUGAGACACGGCCCAGACUCCUACGGGAGGCAGCAGUGGGGAAUCUUAGACAAUGGGCGCAAGCCUGAUCUAGCCAUGCCGCGUGAUCGAUGAAGGCCUUAGGGUUGUAAAGAUCUUUCGUGGGGGAAGAUAAUGACGGUACCCCAAGAAGAAGCCCCGGCUAACUCCGUGCCAGCAGCCGCGGUAAUACGGAGGGGGCUAGCGUUAUUCGGAAUUACUGGGCGUAGAGCGCACGUAGGCGGAUUGAAAAGUCAGAGGUGAAAUCCCAGAGCUCAACUUUGGAACUGCCUUUGAAACUCUCAGUCUUGAGGUCGAGAGAGGUGAGUGGAAUUCCGAGUGUAGAGGUGAAAUUCGUAGAUAUUCGGAGGAACACCAGUGGCGAAGGCGGCUCACUGGCUCGAUACUGACGCUGAGGUGCGAAAGCGUGGGGAGCAAACAGG
rnacentral:rRNA from 1 species